rnacentral:tRNA from 1 species
GCGGCAGUUGUCCAGUGGUUAAGAUCCGGCCUUGCCAAGGCUGGGACCCGAGUUCGAAUCUCGGCUGCCGCA